AGUGAACGCUGGCGGUAGGCCUAACACAUGCAAGUCGAACGGCAGCACAGUAAGAGCUUGCUCUUACGGGUGGCGAGUGGCGGACGGGUGAGGAAUACAUCGGAAUCUACUUUUUCGGGGGGGAUAACGUAGGGAAACUUACGCUAAUACCGCAUACGACCUACGGGUGAAAGCAGGGGAUCUUCGGACCUUGCGCGAUUGAAUGAGCCGAUGUCGGAUUAGCUAGUUGGCGGGGUAAGGGCCCACCAAGGCGACGAUCCGUAGCUGGUCUGAGAGGAUGAUCAGCCACACUGGAACUGAGACACGGUCCAGACUCCUACGGGAGGCAGCAGUGGGGAAUAUUGGACAAUGGGCGCAAGCCUGAUCCAGCCAUACCGCGUGGGUGAAGAAGGCCUUCGGGUUGUAAAGCCCUUUUGUUGGGAAAGAAAAGCAGCAGGUUAAUACCCCGCUGUUCUGACGGUACCCAAAGAAUAAGCACCGGCUAACUUCGUG
rnacentral:rRNA from 1 species